GACGAACGCUGGCGGCGUGCUUAACACAUGCAAGUCGAACGAAGAGCGAUGGAAGCUUGCUUCUAUCAAUCUUAGUGGCGCACGGGUGAGUAACGCGUAAUCAACCUGCCCUUCAGAGGGGGACAACAGUUGGAAACGACUGCUAAUACCGCAUACGAUCUAAUCUCGGCAUCGAGGAUAGAUGAAAGGUGGCCUCUACAUGUAAGCUAUCACUGAAGGAGGGGAUUGCGUCUGAUUAGCUAGUUGGAGGGGUAACGGCCCACCAAGGCGACGAUCAGUAGCCGGUCUGAGAGGAUGAACGGCCACAUUGGGACUGAGACACGGCCCAGACUCCUACGGGAGGCAGCAGUGGGGAAUCUUCCGCAAUGGACGAAAGUCUGACGGAGCAACGCCGCGUGAGUGAUGACGGCCUUCGGGUUGUAAAGCUCUGUUAAUCGGGACGAAAGGCCUUCUUGCGAAUAGUGAGAAGGAUUGACGGUACCGGAAUAGAAAGCCACGGCUAACUACGUG
rnacentral:rRNA from 1 species